AGAGUUUGAUCCUGGCUCAGGACGAACGCUGGCGGCGUGCUUAACACAUGCAAGUCGAGCGGGGUUUAUCGGAUUAGCUUGCUAAACUGAUAAACCUAGCGGCGGACGGGUGAGUAACGCGUGAGCAAUCUGCCUCAUACAGGGGGAUAACAGGUGGAAACACCUGCUAAUACCGCAUAAGACUCCACUACCGCAUGGUAGAGAAGUCAAAGGGAUUACCGGUAUGAGAUGAGCUCGCGUCCCAUUAGCUAGUUGGUAGGGUAAAGGCCUACCAAGGCGACGAUGGGUAGCCGACCUGAGAGGGUGAUCGGCCACACUGGGACUGAGACACGGCCCAGACUCCUACGGGAGGCAGCAGUGGGGAAUAUUGCACAAUGGAGGGAACUCUGAUGCAGCAACGCCGCGUGAGUGAAGAAGGUUUUCGGAUCGUAAAACUCUGUCAUUGGGGAAGAAUAAAUGACGGUACCCAAUGAGGAAGCCCCGGCUAACUACGUGCCAGCAGCCGCGGUAAUACGUAGGGGGCGAGCGUUGUCCGGAAUUACUGGGCGUAAAGGGUACGUAGGCGGCUAUAUAAGUCAGGUGUGAAAUACCAGUGCUUAACACUGGAAUUGCAUUUGAAACUGUGUAGCUUGAGUGCAGGAGAGGAAAGUGGAAUUCCUAGUGUAGCGGUGAAAUGCGUAGAGAUUAGGAGGAACACCAGUGGCGAAGGCGACUUUCUGGACUGUAACUGACGCUGAGGUACGAAAGCGUGGGUAGCGAACAGGAUUAGAUACCCUGGUAGUCC
rnacentral:rRNA from 1 species